GACGAACGCUGGCGGCGUGCCUAAUACAUGCAAGUAGAACGCACAGUUUAUACCGUAGCUUGCUACACCAUAGACUGUGAGUUGCGAACGGGUGAGUAACGCGUAGGUAACCUGCCUGGUAGCGGGGGAUAACUAUUGGAAACGAUAGCUAAUACCGCAUAAUAUUAAUUAUUGCAUGAUAAUUGAUUGAAAGAUGCAACUGCAUCACUACCAGAUGGACCUGCGUUGUAUUAGCUAGUAGGUGAGGUAACGGCUCACCUAGGCGACGAUACAUAGCCGACCUGAGAGGGUGAUCGGCCACACUGGGACUGAGACACGGCCCAGACUCCUACGGGAGGCAGCAGUAGGGAAUCUUCGGCAAUGGACGAAAGUCUGACCGAGCAACGCCGCGUGAGUGAAGAAGGUUUUCGGAUCGUAAAGCUCUGUUGUAAGAGAAGAACGGGUGUGAGAGUGGAAAGUUCACACUGUGACG
rnacentral:rRNA from 1 species